GGGGAAUUGAACCCCGGUCUCCCGCGUGACAGGCGGGGAUACUAACCACUAUACUAACGAGGAGCUGAUAUCCAACGUUCUCCCAAGUCCCUCUUCAAGGGAAAUGAAGAAGCAACCUGAGUCAGCAAAGACCGCAGAGCAGAGAACUGAGCACCUGCUGUCCAUCUUCCUAAAAUGGAAAGGAAAAGAGGGGGUAGUUAACCUGAACAGGGUAGGUGAGCUCAGAGAUUCCUCCCUGUCAGCACCGGGAGGAAGUAAAGGUUAAAAUCUGACUGGCAGUACAGAAGGCACAGAACUCUCUUUGGAGGUGGAUAAAGAGAAUUUUGUGCAGAGUCAUACAGGUAGGAAGUGGUGAAAGGCCAGGAAUCACCCAAGCCUUGACUGCAAAUCUUGUGCAGGGUUCACUUUGCUGCACAAUUCCACAUACAGGUAUAUUAACAAAUAAAUAUGUAUGGAGAGACAAACUUUGUUACUAGUAUCAACAUAUGUGUCACACUUGUUCCUGUACGUAUUAACGUUUACUCUAAUUACUUAGCAGGCACUGUAGUUACUUAUUCACUGUUGAACCUACAAUAUGCCAGACAUUGUUUUAGAUGCAUGGAGAGGUUUAAAGGUGUAAAUCUUGUUCUCAUGGCACUUAUAUCCUAGCAGAAGGAAGAUAUAAGUAAACAAGGAAUAUAAUAAAUAUGUUAGAUGGUGACAAGAGUGGAAAUAGAAAAAGACAGCAUGGUAAAGGAGAGUGGUAAGUUAAACAGAAUGGUCCGAGGGCCUCGUUUUUAAGAAGGUAACAUUUGAACAGACUCGAAAGAAGUAAGGGAUGUAGUCAGAUAGCUACCUGGGGGGCACAUGGGGCCUUAGAAGUCAUUGUAAAGACUUUGCCUUUUAUUUUGAGGGGAAAUGGGGAGCUACUAUAGGGUUUAGGACAGAGAAGAGACACAGUCUGAUUUACAUUUUAAAGGGUUUUUGGCUACUGGGUUGAGAGGAGGCUGUAGGGGGGCAGGAGCAGAAGCAGGGAGACCAAAGAGGUCUGCUGCAAUAAUCCACAUGGGAGAUGAUGGUAGUUGAGGCUAGAGUGGGAGUGGUGGAGAAUGUGAGACGUGCUGAUUUAUUCUGAAGGUAGAGCCAAUAGAAUUUCCUAAUAGAGUAAAUCUGAGAUGUGAAAGUAAAAGAGGAAUCAAAGAUGCUUCCAAAAUUUUUGGCGUGAACAACUGGAAGAAUAGUGUUGCCAUCAACUGAGGUGAAGAAGAAGAAUGCACAACUUCAGAGGGCACCGUCCAUAUUGAUAGUCCAUGUGAAGGGCACGCUGGGGAGGAGGCAGGGGACCAUUCACAUAGAUGUUCUGUGGAUGGCAUUCCUUCGAAUUGUGCAACAUGGCAUCUCUGCAUGUGGAAUAGUAUUUGGAGGGCUAAUAAGCAUUUCAGUUUUGGAUGUGUGAAGGUUGAGACAUUGAGUAGGCAGUUGCAUAUACUCAUUGUAUAGGCCAAGCACAGUGCUGGGUGCUGGACAUAGAGUGAUGAACAAAGAACCUGACCUCAGGGAGCUUUCAUUUUAGUGGAGGAGACACAUAUCACUAAUCAAAGAAUAACAACAACAACAACAAAGUAAAAUUACAACUGUGACAGUUACUAAGAAGAAGAUGUGGAGGGAAGAGCUUUUUCAGUAGAUGGAACCGGAUGUGCAAAGGUUAUUGGAACUGAGAGAAUGUGGUGAGCAGAGGGGUUGACAGAAGGCUGAAGUGGCUAGGGCGAGUGAGGAAGAUCAUGGGAGAGAUGAGGCUGAAAGGCCAAUGGGAGUAGGACGAUGCAGGGUCUCUCAGGCUGUGUUAAGAACCCCCCAUUUUUUGGCCUGUUGUUCACUACUUUUCCUUUCUAUCUUUAGGGUUUACAUACAGUAAAAUUCACUCUUUUUCGGGUGUACUGUUCUAUGAGUUUUUACCAUAAUCAAGUUGUAGAUUAUUUCCAUCACCCCAUCACUUCCAUCACAGAGUUCCCUUUAGCCCCUCUGCAGUCAUUCCCCUCCCUCCAGCCCCAGGCACCACUGACCUGAUUUCUGUUUCCAGAGUGUCAUAUUAAUGCAGCCGUACAGUUUGUAGCUUUUUGCAUAUGCCUUCUUUCCCUUAGUAUUAUGCUUUUGAGAGUCAUCCACGUUGUUGUGUGUUUCGGUAGCUUUUCUUUUUUAAUUUCUGAUUAGUUUUCUAUUGUAUGGAUGUUUGUUUGUUUAUCCACUCACUAGUUGACGGACAUUUGGGUUGUUUCCAGUUUUUGACUAUUAUAAAUAUAGCUAUUGUAAACAUCAGUGUACAGGCUUUUGUAUGGACGUGUAUGUUCAUUUCUCUUGGGUCAAUACCUAGGAGUGGGACUGCUGAGUCUUAGGGUAAGUGUAUGUUUAUCUUUAUAAGAAGCUGCCAAACUGUUUUCCUAACUGGCUGUAACAUUUUGCAUUCCCACCAAACAAUAUAUGAGAGUUCUUCUUGUUCCGCAUCUUUGCUAGCACUUGGUACUUCAAAUAUAUUUUUAUUUGAGCCAUUCCAAUAGGUGUGUAGUGGGAUCUCACAGUUUUUGUAAUAUGCCAUUCCCUAAUGAUUAAUGAUGUUGAGCAUAUUUUCAUGGAUUUAUUUAAGCCUCCAAAU